rnacentral:lncRNA from 1 species
GGAUAUCUCCCCUCCCCCGCUCCCUCUGUCUCCCUCUCUCCCUCCCCUCUCCCCUCUCCCAUGAGAGGACACAGCCAGAAGGAGACCGUCUGCAAGCCAAGGAGAGAAGCCUCACCAGCCAUGGAAUCUAUAGGCACCUUGAUGUUGGACUUCCAGCCUCCAGAGCUAUGGAAGCCAACCGUCGGGAGCACACACACCACAUUACAAGGAUCCCAGCCAGGCCCAGGAGGGGAAGCAAGGACACCCUAGAGGCAGAGAGAACUGGCAGGCUGGAGUGAAGUGGCAUGAUCUCAGCUCACUGGAAUGUCCACCUCCUAGGUUCAAGUGAUUCUCCUGCCUCAGCCUCCCAAGUGGCUGGGAUUACAGGAUUUUUCAUGGGCCGAUCUGCUGAAUUCAGCCUAGGAGCUGAGACCAACAUCUGAGUCUCUUCAGCACACAAGUUUGAAAGAAGUCCUAGCAACUUCAAGCUCAGAACUACGGGUGGCAGCAGCUCCCUCUUGACGUCGAAGCCUCCCAUUCCAGAGAGAGUCAAGGCCUGGAUCAAACAAAGCCCACAAGCACCGAUGACUGAGCUGCUGACUACCCCCAGCAUCUCCAACUCAACCUCCUCUUUCUGCCUCUACCCAAAUUUUAAAACUUUCAAACAUGGGUUUAAAAAUGGUAAUGAGUAAAGUUGCAUCCAAGUGUAUCAAAUAAAACUAAAUAUCCAUAA